UAAGACGAAGGUGGCAAGCGUUAUUCGGAUUUACUGGGCAUAAAGCGCGCGUAGGCGGCUUGGUAAGUCGGGGGUGAAAGCCCGGAGCUCAACUCCGGAAUUGCCUUCGAUACUGCCGAGCUUGAGUGCAGGAGGGGUGACUGGAACUCAAGGUGUAGCGGUGAAAUGCGUAGAUAUCUUGAGGAACACCGGAGGCGAAGGCGAGUCACUGGACUGCCACUGACGCUGAUGCGCGAAAGCUAGGGGAGCAAACAGGAUUAGAUACCCUGGUAGUCCUAGCUGUAAACGAUGGGUACUAGGCAGUGGGGGUCCAAUGCCCUCGCUGCCGAAGCAAAUGUAUUAAGUACCCCGCCUGGGGAGUACGGCCGCAAGGCUG
rnacentral:rRNA from 1 species